rnacentral:rRNA from 1 species
CUUGAAACACCGGUUCUCAUACGAUCACCAAAGUUAAGCAAUGCCUGGUCAGUAGCUAGAUGAGUGACCGCUUGUGAAUACCAGGUGCUGUAC